UACAGAGGGGGCAAGCGUUGUUCGGAAUUACUGGGCGUAAAGGGCGCGUAGGCGGCCUUCUAAGUCGAACGUGAAAUCCCUGGGCUCAAACCCAGGAACUGCGUCCGAUACUGGAAGGCUUGAAUCCGGGAGAGGGAUGCGGAAUUCCAGGUGUAGCGGUGAAAUGCGUAGAUAUCGGGAGGAACACCAGUGGCGAAGGCGACUUCCUGGCCUGUUCUUGACGCUGAGGCGCGAAAGCUAGGGGAGCAAACGGG
rnacentral:rRNA from 1 species